CUGGCGGCGUGCUUAACACAUGCAAGUCGAGCGAUGAAGCUCUUCGGAAGUGGAUUAGCGGCGGACGGGUGAGUAACACGUGGGUAACCUGCCUCAUAGAGGGGAAUAGCCUUCCGAAAGGAAGAUUAAUACCGCAUAAGAUUGUAAUAUCGCAUGAUAUAGCAAUUAAAGGAGUAAUCCGCUAUGAGAUGGACCCGCGUCGCAUUAGCUAGUUGGUGAGGUAACGGCUCACCAAGGCGACGAUGCGUAGCCGACCUGAGAGGGUGAUCGGCCACAUUGGGACUGAGACACGGCCCAGACUCCUACGGGAGGCAGCAGUGGGGAAUAUUGCACAAUGGGGGAAACCCUGAUGCAGCAACGCCGCGUGAGUGAUGACGGUCUUCGGAUUGUAAAGCUCUGUCUUUAGGGACGAUAAUGACGGUACCUAAGGAGGAAGCCACGGCUAACUACGUGCCAGCCGCCGC
rnacentral:rRNA from 1 species